rnacentral:misc_RNA from 1 species
GACGAAGAACGUAGCGAAAUGCGAUAAGUAAUGUGAAUUGCAGAAUUCAGUGAAUCAUCGAAUCUUUGAACGCACAUUGCGCCCCCUGGUAUUCCGGGGGGCAUGCCUGUCCGAGCGUCAUUACAACCCUCAAGCUCAGCUUGGUAUUGGGCCCCGCCGACCCGGCGGGCCCUAAAGUCAGUGGCGGUGCCGUCCGGCUCCGAGCGUAGUAAUUCUUCUCGCUCUGGAGGUCCGGUCGUGUGCUCGCCAGCAACCCCCAAUUUUUUUCAGGUUGACCUCGGAUCAGGUAGGGAUACCCGCUGAACUUAAGCAUAUCAAUAAGCGGAGGA